GAUGAAGAACGUAGCGAAAUGCGAUAAGUAAUGUGAAUUGCAGAAUUCAGUGAAUCAUCGAAUUUUUGAACGCACAUUGCGCCCCUUGGUAUUCCGAGGGGCAUGCCUGUUCGAGCGUCAUUAUAACCCCUCAAGCUCAGCUUGGUGUUGGGGCCUGCUGCACUGGCAGCCCUUAAAAUCAGUGGCGGCGCCAUCUGGCUCUAAGCGUAGUAAUUCUUCUCGCUAUGGAGUCCUGGUGGAUGCUUGCCAUCAACCCCCAAUUUUUCUAUGGUUGACCUCGGAUCAGGUAGGAAUACCCGCUGAACUUAAGCAUAUCAAUAAGCGGAGGA
rnacentral:misc_RNA from 1 species